rnacentral:lncRNA from 1 species
CUGCAGAGACAAAAUCAGACCCUUACCUUGCACUGUUGACCUAUCGGUCCUCACCUCUGGGAUCUGGAGCAUCACCCUCAGAGCUCCUCAUGAACCGAAAACUGCGCAGAAAAAGCAUCAUGACAAGACGGCCAGGAGUCUCACACCUCUCUCAGAACACGACGUGGUCAGAAUCGAAGAGCCCCACACACGGAACAGAAAAGCAGUAACAAGUGUUAAGUCAUGUUACUGUACAUAAUGAAUACAUAUAAUUAUACUUAUAUAUUUUCUUUAAUUAACAGUUAUCCACCAACUGAUGACAAAUCCAGAUUGUCUAGGUGUAUGGUUACACUUUUCCCGUCACUGAAAGUCAUAAUGGAAGAUGAGAAUGAAGGCUUUGAGCAUUUUUAUGACCCAAUAUCACAUAGUGGAUUCAUUGAGAUGCGGCUUAGGAAUCUCAGGCGCAAUCUUCAUGAUGAUCAACAUCGGUUUCAGCGCAACCGUAGUCGGCCUACAACAACUAACCCUAGAUCAUCAAUUACAGUGGAGAUGCCUAUAGAAGGGGAGGAGUUGAUAGGUCAGUGUUUCUCCCAGUGCUUUAUAGAUAAGGUGGCUACCUUAACAACACACCCCUGCCACCUUAACUGUACUAAGUUGUUUUCCUCAGACAAUCACCACCUUAACUAAAGCAUUUCCUGUGGGAAACACUGUAGGUGAAUGGAAGAGCAUUAUAAAAAGAAUGAGAGCAUGUCAGGAAAACAUCAGCACCAUCAAAGAAGGCAUGGAAAAAACGUAUAACAACCGAAGACUGUGGAUUACUGCUAGUUCUCCAACAGUGGAGGAAAUCUUUGCAGAGUAUCCUCGCUUUGUGGACAUGCCGUACUUGGUGAGUAAGACUAUUUUAAUAAAGUUUAAAUGAAAAAAUCGAAAUGAAUUAAUCCCCUUUAACCUAUUAUAGUUUUAAUCAAAAUGUUCUAGUUUGAUACAGAAUUUGGGAGGAUCCUUCCUGGUAAAGCUGAUGUCUUCAAUCUAAAAUGGAAAAUGUGGGAGAAAUUAACCAUUACUUUUAUAUUAACUAUGAGUAUUAUCAGGCCUAUAUACAUCAGGCAUAGACAUUAAUGGUGGAAUGUAGAGAAACCACACCUGGACCCAGAGUAAUGGCCUGAUAAGGCACCAAGGACUUUGGGGCCCAGACUACUGACAUCCUCCCAUUUUUAGAUUAACUACAGGAGAUGAGCACAUACGUAAGGGAAUGUAAGGCCAUUUUGAACAUAUACCAGGACGGUCAUAUAUCACAUGCAUGACAGCUCAGUUGGUGUGGAUAAGAGGGACUGGGAUCGGAGCCCCAGUCAGUGUGUCUUUUGCAAAACCACAUGCUCGGCUCUGUUGUACCUAUUUUGUGGGUAACAAUAAAGUCUCUGUCAUUACUUUUUCCGGACUCCCCGAUUUCUAUUGCUCAUAGCUAGUUUAAGUAAAUUAGAUAAGUCGUUAACAAAAAUUGCAACUACAAAAACAACUAUCGUUCCAAAUAUUCUGAAAAUAUCCACAGCGAGUGAACCUUCAGGCCUGCCACCAGUUCCUGCGAAUGACGGUAUGAUGAUUUUCUGUCAAGCUGGUGUCUUACGAAACAACUGACUUGAGUUAAAGAUCUAACCAAAUUGUUCUGUUGCUACAGCGUCUUGCUAUAAAGCGCUUCAAAAGCUCAUCCAGUUGCUGCCUCCAACUUCAUCAGGGAGAGGGAAAGGCUACGGCAAAUGCAGUGUAAAGUCAGCUUUGGCCUACCUCUUGGAUAUAAAGCCGGUAGGUUUGUUUCCUUUGUGUACAUUUAUAUAGGUCUUGUGGAUAUUUUUUUCAAAUGAUUUGGGUGUGCAACGCAGUAUAUCCUGCCCAACUGACAUCUGUGUUUCACUUCUUUGAGCAUGUUUACGAAGUGCCCCUCUCCAGUGCGAAGACAGCUAAGGUUGUGGACCUUAUUUCAAAGAUCCAAGCUAUUAAGUAGCCUAACAAAUAAAUAAUAUGUACGUUUGUCCCAAGUGUAAAACUGAUGUGAAAGAUGUCAGAAAACUCAUCCGCCAUCUUAGAAAUGUACAUGCGCUCUCUGAUGGACAAGAGUAUACAAUUGUUUGCAGUCAGAACUUUUGCCAACGAACAUACCAAAACUUCAACUCCUACGCUAGGCACCUAGGCUAAGAGAAACCAUCCCCAGGGUGUACCUAAUUCUCAAAACACAAAUACAAAUUUUAUUGACAUAUCACUGGACUUUUCACCACUGUGCUCUAAUUCAGUUGAUGGGAAUCAUGAGACUGAUGAGGACCUUUCACUAGACAGCACUUAAAACUAUCAACAACGCGCGGCAGAAUUUGCUGCAAAAAUAUAUUCAUCUUCUAAUUCUAUCCUCAUUGAUGUGCAAAGAAAUAUUACAUGCACUAAAGAGCUACUCAGCAGGGCACUGGAUAGGUUGCAAGAGAAAACUGUAUCGUUACUUAAGUGUCACAUAUACCUUCUAAUGACAUGGCUGUCCAAAGUCUGAUGGGGGAAUUUGAAACGGGGAGGAAUAUGUUUAAAGGAAUAAAUACCAACUAUAAGAUGACUAAAUAUUUUUCAAUUUUGUGAAUAUUUCCAAAACCUUAUCAUGUAAACACCAAAUGCAACAAAUGUUCAACUGGAAAAUGGGUAGCCCUUUGACCGAUGAAUUGACAGUGUCCGACAGCUCUUCAGUUAUGAUUGGUUCUCUUGAAGAACAUUGCACUUUGCUUGAAAAUCUAAAAAUGAUUGGCCGUGAUGUUACUUUAUGCAGCCGAAUUAAUGUUUCCCAAUCAGUUUCUAUGUUUGGCCAAGAUUAUCAGAUUGGUUGUUGUAAAGUUAUUAUAAAUAAACAACUUUGGAUAUUUCUAAGUAGGUGACUUUAUUUUACCAGCCUUCAUGGUUCUCCCGUUACACUUCUUCUGUCGUUCUCAAGUCUAGCUCCAUCUGAUCUAGUAAUCAACACUGCCACCUAGUGGUCAUAACAUAUAACAUAUAUACAGAACAUGCAUAUCAUUACAUCCUCCUUUCUCUGAGGUUAAAAGUCAAAUAAUAGUAGGCCCAAGGCUUUAUCAAGACUAGACCUGGAAGCUACACCUAAACCCAUUAAAGGGCUACCACACCUAAAGCUUUUCUUACAGGUAAACAAGGUAAACAAUUAAUCCCUUCUUUCAGAUAAGAGGUUUUAGAAAGUAACCUUUAACUGUACUAUUUU